UGGAAAGGCAGCAUUGGAAAUAAAAUGAUGAUGAUGAUGAUGAUGAUGGGAAACCUCUUGAACGUGUGCUUUUCAGGUGCAGGAACAGUGAAGUGUGGAUGAGCUCUGUGUGUGUGUGUGUGUGUGUGUGUGUGUGUGUGUGUACACUUUCUUUCUCUUA